UUGAACGCUGGCGGCAUGCCUAACACAUGCAAGUCGAACGGCAGCGCGGGGGCAACCCUGGCGGCGAGUGGCGGACGGGUGAGGAAUGCAUCGGAAUCUGCCCUGUUGUGGGGGAUAACCAACCGAAAGGUUGGCUAAUACCGCAUGAGACGGCGACGUGAAAGCGGGGGAUCUUUGGACCUCGCGCGACAGGAUGAGCCGAUGCCGGAUUAGCUAGUUGGCGGGGUAAAGGCCCACCAAGGCGACGAUCGAUAGCUGGUCUGAGAGGAUGAUCAGCCACACUGGGACUGAGACACGGCCCAGACUCCUACGGGAGGCAGCAGUAGGGAAUAUUGGACAAUGGGCGCAAGCCUGAUCCAGCCAUGCCGCGUGAGUGAAGAAGGCCCUCGGGUUGUAAAGCUCUUUUGUUGGGGAAGAAAAGCAGUCGGUUAAUACCUGAUUGUUCUGACGGUACCCAAAGAAUAAGCACCGGCUAACUUCGU
rnacentral:rRNA from 1 species